ACCGACAGCAAUACGAAGGCCAGGCUGAAGACUUUGCCGGAUUAGCUGAGAGGUGGUGCAUGGCCGUCGUCAGUUCGUACUGUGAAGCAUCCUGUUAAGUCAGGCAACGAGCGAGACCCACGCCCACAGUUGCCAGCGUACUCUCUGGAGUGACGGGUACACUGUGGGGACCGCCGCUGCUAAAGCGGAGGAAGGAAUGGGCAACGGUAGGUCAGUAUGCCCCGAAUAUCCCGGGCUACACGCGAGCUACAAUGGUUGGUACAAUGGGUAUCUACCCCGAAAGGGGACGGGAAUCUCCUAAAACCAAUCUUAGUUCGGAUUGAGGGCUGCAACUCGCCCUCAUGAAGCUGGAAUCCGUAGUAAUCGCGUUUCAACAGAACGCGGUGAAUACGUCCCUGCUCCUU
rnacentral:rRNA from 1 species